rnacentral:rRNA from 1 species
UGGGGAAUUUUGGACAAUGGGCGAAAGCCUGAUCCAGCAAUGCCGCGUGUGUGAAGAAGGCCUUCGGGUUGUAAAGCACUUUUGUCCGGAAAGAAAUCCUUGGCUCUAAUACAGUCGGGGGAUGACGGUACCGGAAGAAUAAGCACCGGCUAACUACGUGCCAGCAGCCGCGGUAAUACGUAGGGUGCAAGCGUUAAUCGGAAUUACUGGGCGUAAAGCGUGCGCAGGCGGUUUGCUAAGACCGAUGUGAAAUCCCCGGGCUCAACCUGGGAACUGCAUUGGUGACUGGCAGGCUAGAGUAUGGCAGAGGGGGGUAGAAUUCCACGUGUAGCAGUGAAAUGCGUAGAGAUGUGGAGGAAUACCGAUGGCGAAGGCAGCCCCCUGGGCCAAUACUGACGCUCAUGCACGAAAGCGUGGGGAGCAAACAGGAUUAGAUACCCUGGUAGUCCACGCCCUAAACGAUGUCAACUAGUUGUUGGGGAUUCAUUUCCUUAGUAACGUAGCUAACGCGUGAAGUUGACCGCCUGGGGAGUACGGUUGCAAGAUUAAAACUUAAAUGAAUUGACGGGGUC